rnacentral:rRNA from 1 species
GAACGCUGGCGGCGUGCCUAAUACAUGCAAGUCGAGCGGACUUGAUGGAGUGCUUGCACUCCUGAUGGUUAGCGGCGGACGGGUGAGUAACACGUAGGCAACCUGCCCUCAAGACUGGGAUAACUACCGGAAACGGUAGCUAAUACCGGAUAAUUUAUUUCACAGCAUUGUGGAAUAAUGAAAGACGGAGCAAUCUGUCACUUGGGGAUGGGCCUGCGGCGCAUUAGCUAGUUGGUGGGGUAAUGGCUCACCAAGGCGACGAUGCGUAGCCGACCUGAGAGGGUGAACGGCCACACUGGGACUGAGACACGGCCCAGACUCCUACGGGAGGCAGCAGUAGGGAAUCUUCCGCAAUGGGCGAAAGCCUGACGGAGCAACGCCGCGUGAGUGAUGAAGGUUUUCGGAUCGUAAAGCUCUGUUGCCAAGGAAGAACGU